UUGGAAGCAAAGACAGAGAGGGCACCUGGAGAAUGGUUGCCAGAGUGAAAUUCCCCAGACAAUAGGGAUAAUUUGGAACUGUUUAAAGAACAAGGGAAGAAGAGCCCAAGGACCGUAGCAAGGCCCUGAUUCUGGGAGACAAGAGAACACGCUGACUUAGAAUGCUUGUCUCUGCAUCCUGGUCAGAAAGUAGAUAGACGACACUUUCAUCUCCGACUGGAUUUUGGUGAGAGAUGGGCAAACCCCCGGCUCUAGGCUGGAGCAGCAGCUCUUGUAUCCACACAAAAUCAGGACUGGUGGAGGGAGCCAUCUUCAAAUAUAAAUUUGCGUCUUUUGGCAAUGCACUCCUUGGGUUUGGAAGCUUCCCUCCAAGAUGCUGAGCCCAAUGUUUGGGGAAAGCCAGGGAAACAGAUGCUGGGUCAGUGCUGCUCCCACCUCCUCUGCUCCCCUCCUGAGGGCUCCACUGAGUCACCAGCCAGCAAACAGCCCAUGCGCCCUGGAGCAGAUGGACUGUGGGUACACGAGCCUCUGAACUCUUGGGCAGCAUGGGCACCACAUCCUUUUGGCCUCACCCAAUGACCUGGCUGUGAGGCCAGAGGAGCUCCGUGCUGCUAGGAGAUCCAGGCAGAAACCUCCAGGAUUGGAAGCUCAGCCCAGCGGCUGGGAGGCUGUGGCACCUCCUGUCCACAUGGCAGGCCAGGCCGAGGUGGGCUGGCUACACAGUGGGGCUCCCCCCUCUCUGAUAAGGGAUCGAACGGGUGCUUGAAAAUAAAUGGCACCUGUGGAGAAAGUGCCCCAUCCCUGAUUAUGUCAUCGGAGCCUCUGGUCCCCA
rnacentral:lncRNA from 1 species